rnacentral:lncRNA from 1 species
CUCUACUGUAAGCCAUGUGUUGCGCUUUUUCACUAACCCUUGCCGACGUAACACCCAAUGGAACGCACAGGUGCUCGGUUGGUUCGCAAUAGUACAGAUAGCUUCAUGCUUUCUCGGUGAGGGUUUUAGGCUAUAAUUAUUGUAAUACGCUUGCUCUGUCUGGUCAUUCUAGGCAGGAUAAUGAAAUAUGCAAGGUUAAAGCUUAAAACAAGUAGGCUAAUUUAUUGACAACCUAUACAUUUUUGAAAGCAACAAAAGUGCAUAUUUUGAAAUAAUAGAAGAACACGCACAAAUAAAAAAGUAUUUUAAAAUUCCAUUGGCUUUAUUGCUCGAGUAUGUAUACAGGCUGUUUUCAUAAAGUUGUAACACAGCGCCCUCGUGUAGUUGAAAAGCCUCACUGCGCCUUGAUUUCCUACCUCUUCAACCCACCAUGACAGAGGACGGCACAGGCAGCGCCGUCUAACCCCAAUACGAUAUUUACCACAAACCCUAGCCCAGCCACAAAUAGUUCAUAGUUCUGACGAUAUCCCUGCCCAUUUCGGUCCCCUCUGGCAUGGCCAUCUAGUGACUACCACCCUCACACAACGUUUAAGGGUAGACUAUAGAGUUCUGUUAUAAACUAAAGGUGCAUGGAGAGAAGAUUACAGGACAAACAUGCCUAAUAUUUUUCAAAACAUGUGGUGCAAAAUAAUGCAGAUUUCAUUCUUUAACAGAAACAAUCAAAGCAAUUUAACAAAACAAUUUAGAUAUAAAGGAAUAUCUAGCUAAUAGAUGUCUGUGUUUACUUAAGGGUACUGAAGAGAAUUGGAAUUUUGAAUGAAACUAAGGCAGUGUGGGUCAGACAACAAGCAGGGUAGCCCUGCCUGCCUGCCACUCAGCCAUCCUUUAUUCCUCUGCUCCAUGUUUCCAACUGACUGCACCAGCCUCACCGUGGCAAAUUAUUCUGUCCCUCCUGACUAAAUAAAUAUGAGAGAGAGAGAGAGAGAGAGAGUGAGAAAGAACGAGACAGAGAGAAACCGGCAGGUUCGAUUCUGGGUAUGAGACUUUUCCUGUGUUACGACGAUGUCUCCGUGGCAGCCUUUGAUUCCAUGGUCUCCGAGGCGACGGCUGGUUCUGUGGCGCCAGGGAAGGUCUGCUGCUCUGGGGAGGGGGUGACUGUGGAAAGGGUGAGUGGGGUGAAGGAGGAGACGUCGACAGGGGAAAGGGAUGUUACCCCCUGUGGCAGGGGGGGGAGGGGGGCUAGACCGGGCAGGUUCAGAGGAGGGAAGGGUGCGAGUGGAGGGAAUCCUGAAAUGGAGGGGGGAGGAAGGGGCAGGUGAGAGAGAAGAGAGAGAUCUGUAGUUGAACACAGGAAUAAUCACAUAAUACAUUAAUGCCUGGGGCUGGAAACCCACUGUUAGCAUUAGCUGUAUAAACCUGCUGUUCCAGGUGGCAGUAGCCCGCUAAUACCUGCUAGCGAUACAGCGCUGAGGUCUGGUAGUGCGGUAAGGUUGAGGUUGGGGAGGUUUGGGAAUGGGGGCAGGCCGCCCGGGAGAGGCAACAGACCUACAAUUGCACACAAAUAAACAUACUUAAUAAUGUAGAAAAAGGUAUUGUGUGUAAGAUUAGAUCAUCUCAAUUUGAUCUGGAAAUAUAUUUCUGAAGAGGCGUGUACUGACCUGGUAGCGUGGUGGCGGGGUUGAAGGUCGUGGAGGCUGGGUUUAGGGGGCUAAGGGAGGUGGGCAGCAGGGGAACGGUGGGGAGACCUG